GUGGUCAGAGGAGCAUUUCAAAACAUCUGAAGACAGGCAGAUCUGGUACCUUUCCUUGGACAAGGAAACAGGUAUAGAAACUAACGCAUUUAUGAUUCAAUAUUUUCAAAGCUAUUUAUAUUCCCUUGCUUUACGUUCAAGAUUCCUUCUCUUUCUAUAACAGGGUGUAAAUAUAUUUGGUUUUCCAUGAAUAGGUUGUGGAUUUCAAACAAAGCAGAGAUACAGA
rnacentral:misc_RNA from 1 species